UUUUUUUUGAGGUAUUUUUAAAAAUCCUUUGUUCAGAUUUGAGAUAUUAAUAUGAUAAAUGAGCCUACCAAAUUUUAUCUAAAUCCAUUAAAACCUGUUAAAGUUAUCUUCUAAACAAAAAAGGGAUCCACACACACACACACAUACAUACAACCGGACAAUUGAUCAGAAUCUCAUAUAACACGUUUCUAUAAAGAAAAAAAUUUGUUUUCGCCACUUUGAAAAGUUUUAUAAACGAAAGGACUACAAAGUUUCCUCCACGAGGAAGCAAAAAUAGUCAAAAAGUUUCGAACAAAAAAUGUAUAGCGCACUUUUUGAUUGGUCCAGCGGAGGCUGAGCUACACUCAGAUAAAUUUUUUAAAAAAUUUUGAAAAAUUAAAUUUGCGAGAUAAUUAAUCGGGAAUAACGCCAAAGUCUUAACCCGGGAGUCUCGAACAAAAAAUGUAUUGCGCACUUUUUGAUUGGUCCAGCGGAUGCUGAGCUACACUCAAAAAUAAUUUGGAAAAAUUUUCAAAAAAUUAAAUUCGCUAGAUAAUCUUUCGGGAAUACCGCCAUAGUGAUUAGAAGAAAGUUCUGAACAAAAAAUGUAUGGCGCACUUUUUGAUUGGUCCUGCGGAUGCUGAGCUACGCUCAAAAAUAUUUUGGAAAAAUUUUCGAAAAAUUAAAUUCGCGAGAUAAUCGCUCCCGAAUACCAGCAAUAAAAUAGGGAAAAAGUUUCGAACAAAAAAUGAAUGGCGGACUUUUUGAUUGGUCCAGUGGAGGAUGAGCUACACUCAGAUAAAUUUUUUAAAAAAUUUUGAAAAAUUAAAUUUGCGAGAUAAUUAAUCGGGAAUACCGCCAAAGUCUUAACCCGGGAGUCUCGAACAAAAAAUGUAUGGCGCACUUUUUGAUUGGUCCAGCGGAUGCUGAGCUACACUCAGAUAAAUUUUUUAAAAAAUUUUGAAAAAUUAAACUUGCGAGAUAAUUAAUCGGGAAUAACGCCAAAGUCUUAAUCCGGGAGUCUCGAACAAAAAAUGUAUUGCGCACUUUUUGAUUGGUCCAGCGGAUGCUGAGGUACGCUCAAAAAUAUUUUGGAAAAAUUUUCGAAAAAUUAAAUUCGCGAGAUAAUCGUUGGGUAAUACCACCAAUAAAUUAGGGAAAAAGUUUCGAACAAAAAAUGUAUGGCGGACUUUUUGAUUGGUCCAGAGGAGGCUGAGCUACACUCAGAUAAAUUUUUUAAAAAAUUUUGAAAAAUUAAAUUUGAGAGAUAAUUAAUCGGGAAUAACGCCAAAGCCUUAACCCGGGAGUUUCGAACAAAAAAUGUAUUGCGCACUAUUUGAUUGGUCCAGCGGAUGCUGAGCUACGCUCAAAAAUAUUUUGGAAAAAUUUUCGAAAAAUUAAAUUUGCGAGAUAAUUAAUCGGGAAUACCGCCAAAGUCUUAACCCGGGAGUCUCGAACAAAAAAUGUAUGGCGCACUUUUUGAUUGGUCCAGCGGAGGCUGAGCUACACUCAGAUAAAUUUUUUAAAAAAUUUUGAAAAAUUAAAUUUGAGAGAUAAUUAAUCGGGAAUAACGCCAAAGCCUUAACCCGGGAGUUUCGAACAAAAAAUGUAUGGCGCACUUUUUGAUUGGUCCAGCGGAUGCUGAGCUACACUCAGAUAAAUUUUUUAAAAAAUUUUGAAAAAUUAAAUUUGCGAGAUAAUUAAUCGGGAAUAACGCCAAAGUCUUAAUCCGGGAGUCUCGAACAAAAAAUGUAUUGCGCACUUUUUGAUUGGUCCAGCGGAUGCUGAGGUACGCUCAAAAAUAUUUUGGAAAAAUUUUCGAAAAAUUAAAUUCGCGAGAUAAUCGUUGGGUAAUACCACCAAUAAAUUAGGGAAAAAGUUUCGAACAAAAAAUGUAUGGCGGACUAUUUGAUUGGUCCAGCGGAUGCUGAGCUACACUCAAAAAUAAUUUGGAAAAAUUUUCAAAAAAUUAAAUUCGCUAGAUAAUCUUUCGGGAAUACCGCCAUAGUGAUUAGAAGAAAGUUCUGAACAAAAAAUGUAUGGCGCACUUUUUGAUUGGUCCUGCGGAUGCUGAGCUACGCUCAAAAAUAUUUUGGAAAAAUUUUCGAAAAAUUAAAUUCGCGAGAUAAUCGCUCCCGAAUACCAGCAAUAAAAUAGGGAAAAAGUCUCGAACAAAAAAUGUAUGGCGCACUUUUUGAUUGGUCCAGCGGAUGCUGAGCUACACUCAGAUAAAUUUUUUAAAAAAUUUUGAAAAAUUAAAUUUGCGAGAUAAUUAAUCGGGAAUAACGCCAAAGUCUUAAUCCGGGAGUCUCGAACAAAAAAUGUAUUGCGCACUUUUUGAUUGGUCCAGCGGAUGCUGAGCUACACUCAGAUAAAUUUUUUAAAAAAUUUUGAAAAAUUAAAUUUGCGAGAUAAUUAAUCGGGAAUAACGCCAAAGUCUUAACCCGGGAGUCUCGAACAAAAAAUGUAUUGCGCACUUUUUGAUUGGUCCAGCGGAUGCUGAGCUACACUCAGAAAAAUUUUUUAAAAAAUUUUGAAAAAUUAAAUUUGCGAGAUAAUUAAUCGGGAAUACCGCCAAAGUCUUAACCCGGGAUUCUCGAACAAAAAAUGUAUGGCGCACUUUUUGAUUGGUCCAGCGGAUGCUGAGCUACACUCAGAUAAAUUUUUUAAAAAAUUUUGAGAAAUUAAAUUUGCGAGAUAAUUAAUCGAGAAUACCGCCAAAGUCUUAACCCGGGAGUCUCAAACAAAAAAUGUAUGGCUUACUUUUUGAUUGGUCCAGCGGAGGCUGAGCUACACUCAGAUAAAUUUUUUAAAAAAUUUUGAAAAAUUAAAUUUGCGAGAUAAUUAAUCGGGAAUAACGCCAAAGUCUUAAUCCGGGAGUCUCGAACAAAAAAUGUAUUGCGCACUUUUUGAUUGGUCCAGCGGAUGCUGAGCUACACUCAGAUAAAUUUUUUAAAAAAUUUUGAAAAAUUAAAUUUGCGAGAUAAUUAAUCGGGAAUAACGCCAAAGUCUUAACCCGGGAGUCUCGAACAAAAAAUGUAUUGCGCACUUUUUGAUUGGUCCAGCGGAUGCUGAGCUACACUCAGAAAAAUUUUUUAAAAAAUUUUGAAAAAUUAAAUUUGCGAGAUAGUUAAUCGGGAAUACCGCCAUAGUGAUUAGAAGAAAGUUCUGAACAAAAAAUGUAUGGCGCACUUUUUGAUUGGUCCAGCGGAUGCUGAGCUACACUCAAAAAUAAUUUGGAAAAAUUUUCAAAAAAUUAAAUUCGCUAGAUAAUCUUUCGGGAAUACCGCCAUAGUGAUUAGAAGAAAGUUCUGAACAAAAAAUGUAUGGCGCACUUUUUGAUUGGUCCUGCGGAUGCUGAGCUACGCUCAAAAAUAUUUUGGAAAAAUUUUCGAAAAAUUAAAUUCGCGAGAUAAUCGCUCCCGAAUACCAGCAAUAAAAUAGGGAAAAAGUUUCGAACAAAAAAUGAAUGGCGGACUUUUUGAUUGGUCCAGUGGAGGAUGAGCUACACUCAGAUAAAUUUUUUAAAAAAUUUUGAAAAAUUAAAUUUGCGAGAUAAUUAAUCGGGAAUACCGCCAAAGUCUUAACCCGGGAGUCUCGAACAAAAAAUGUAUGGCGCACUUUUUGAUUGGUCCAGCGGAUGCUGAGCUACACUCAGAUAAAUUUUUUAAAAAAUUUUGAGAAAUUAAAUUUGCGAGAUAAUUAAUCGAGAAUACCGCCAAAGUCUUAACCCGGGAGUCUCAAACAAAAAAUGUAUGGCUUACUUUUUGAUUGGUCCAGCGGAGGCUGAGCUACACUCAGAUAAAUUUUUUAAAAAAUUUUGAAAAAUUAAAUUUGCGAGUUAAUUAAUCGGGAAUAACGCCAAAGUCUUAAUCCGGGAGUCUCGAACAAAAAAUGUAUUGCGCACUUUUUGAUUGGUCCAGCGGAUGCUGAGGUACGCUCAAAAAUAUUUUGGAAAAAUUUUCGAAAAAUUAAAUUCGCGAGAUAAUCGUUGGGUAAUACCACCAAUAAAUUAGGGAAAAAGUUUCGAACAAAAAAUGUAUGGCGGACUUUUUGAUUGGUCCAGCGGAGGCUGAGCUACACUCAGAUAAAUUUUUUAAAAAAUUUUGAAAAAUUAAAUUUGCGAGAUAAUUAAUCGAGAAUACCGCCAAAGUCUUAACCCGGGAGUUUCGAACAAAAAAUGUAUUGCGCACUUUUUGAUUGGUCCAGCGGAUGCUGAGCUACGAUCAAAAAUAUUUUGGAAAAAUUUUCGAAAAAUUAAAUUCGCUAGAUAAUCUUUCGGGAAUACCGCCAUAGUGAUUAGAAGAAAGUUCUGAACAAAAAAUGUAUGGCGCACUUUUUGAUUAGUCCAGCGGAUGCUGAGCUACACUCAAAAAUAGUUUGGAAAAAUUUUCGAAAAAUUAAAGAAUUUUAGUUAAAAAUUUGUUAAAU